CGCCAGCGCUCAACGACCCGGCCGGCUGGCCCGGUACGGGCCGUUUGCACUUUGGCCUGAAAUUUCAUCUCGACUUCGCUGAUGAUCUUCUGCAACAACAACAACAAGCAAAGAAGCAACAUUCGCGACGUUCAGUGAUCUAACCGGAAGUGCUCCAACUUUUCUGUCGCAGAUCGAGGCAAAGGCGGACACCACGUGAGAAAACGGUCUUGGCGUUUGGACAACCCUCAUUCAACCCAUGGACGCAAGGAAGCGGAGAAACAGGAGGAGUCCUCAUCACCAUCCAGAUGAAGAAAUAUGAAGCUACAAGCGCCAACGAGUGCAGCUAACUGAAAAAUCUUAAACUUCGCCAGAAUUCUGGAAUUCAAUCAAAUAGAACUCAAAGGAAAACUAAAAUCAUCUCUUUUCAUGGCAAACUCAAAACGAAGAAACCAAAUUGAAGAUGUUCUCUAUCAUCUUCUUUCAACAGUCGCAAUAAAAUUCACCUCCAAAACAUGUCUGUUGUCAUCACUUCAAAUCAACCAGCAUCCAUUAAUGAUAAGAGGGCACAAUUUCAAAAUCGAAACUACACCCCUUUUUCCAAAUCAUCUCCAUAGAAAAAAUGAAGAUACAAGACAUUAUCAGACAAAGAAGAAGAACACUAAGAGUUCCAGAAGAAUUAUCAUGGACAAGAAAGAAAGUUCAAUCUGGGAGCAAAAGUAAAAAUCCUGCACUCGUCUCACAAAAAUCUUUUUUGGCAGAGCUAGAAGACUUCAUUAAUGUUGCCCCCGUUCCAAAAAGGCAUUCUACAAAAAGUAAACAAUACUUUUCUCAUAUUCUAAACAAAAUCCCUCAGGUCAUCAUUCUUGGGCAAAAUAACAAAGACCAUUCCAAAUCAGUUUUCCAAAAACUGGAUCGAGCAGCCACCCUAUCAGCAAGUCUUCUCUUUCGGAACGCCUGGCUAAAACGGUUCAUCGUGCAGACUGCGAUCUUUGAAGCACCACAUGAGACAAAACCAGCUUUUUUUAAUUUACAGUCGAAAGCCAUUUUUCUUUUCGUAAAUCACAUCUGAUCCACACAAAAUUUUAUACGAGUGAUGUAACGAGUCUCUGGCGCAGCAAAGUUGGCCUGGCAGCCAAUCUCCUGUUAGUCAGAAAACACUUGUGAACCGUCACCGUUUGCCGGUUCUCGAAACCGGAAAUCAAGUUCACCGAAGAGACCUAGCACGCUGAACCGUUCCGACAAGGAAGAUAACACAGCCGCCUCCCUCCGCGAUAGAUCCAGCAAGCGGAAAUUGCGUAUAAAUCUCUAAAAGGUUUCGAGUUCCUAUAGAAGAAAGAAAGUUGAGAGCCUCGAAGAUUUGUCAAAACCAUAACAAAUUACUCGUUUCAAAAUCAAACGAGCGGAUUAUCUAUAUUCUGCAAGAAAUAAAAACUUCAGGAUCAGCCAAAUUUCCCACUUGGAAGUUCUCUACUUAUCGAAUAUCCAUCGACUCGGAGGGAGGUUUCAUAAUCCCUUUCUGCAGCAACCCACCAGGACCAGUGAAACCUUCGGUUUUUGCUCGAAAACUUGAUAAUCACCUCACCAGCGUCCGAAAGCGAACACGAUUACAAAUUUCCUACACGUCGAUCCAACACCAACUUUUCCGAACACUCAUUUUCAUCAAUGAACCACAAAAAGGGAAACAAAAAGAACUAGUAUUGCUCUAUCAGUCUCGGUUUUCGAACCACCUCAUCAUCUAAAAUUUAAAGUUAAAAUCAAUUUUUGCUCUCAAAUAUUCAAUUUCAUACCCUCAAUUCCAAAUCCUCAUUUUUCAAUAUCAAACAACAAUCUUUCGAUCCUCACAAAAUUAAAAAAAAAAUUAAAAACUUUGAAGCCGGAUUCCCAAAUUGACGAAAAAUACUCUUUGGACCAUUUUUCAAGGACAUUCUUGACCAUCAGUAACAGGCAUCCAAAAUGCGACAAGGCAUUUCAAAAUACAUCAAAAUGCAUCAAAAAA